UACGGAGGGGGCUAGCGUUGUUCGGAAUUACUGGGCGUAAAGCGCACGUAGGCGGCUUUGUAAGUUAGAGGUGAAAGCCCAGGGCUUAACCCUGGAAUUGCCUUUAAGACUGCAUCGCUAGAAUCGUGGAGAGGUGAGUGGAAUUCCAGGUGUAGUGGUGAAAUACGUAGAUAUCUGGAGGAACACCGGUGGCGAAGGCGGCGAUCUGGCCCAACAUUGACACUGAGACCCGAAAGCGUGGGGAGCAAACAGG
rnacentral:rRNA from 1 species